CCUACGGGAGACAGCAGUGAGGAAUAUUGGUCAAUGGGCGGGAGCCUGAACCAGCCAAGUAGCGUGAAGGAUGACUGCCCUAUGGGUUGUAAACUUCUUUUAUAUGGGAAUAAAAUGUUCCACGUGUGGGAUUUUGUAUGUACCAUAUGAAUAAGGAUCGGCUAACUCCGUGCCAGCAGCCGCGGUAAUACGGAGGAUCCGAGCGUUAUCCGGAUUUAUUGGGUUUAAAGGGAGCGUAGGUGGAUUGUUAAGUCAGUUGUGAAAGUUUGCGGCUCAACCGUAAAAUUGCAGUUGAAACUGGCAGUCUUGAGUACAGUAGAGGUGAGCGGAAUUCGUGGUGUAGCGGUGAAAUGCUUAGAUAUCACGAAGAACUCCGAUUGCGAAGGCAGCUCACUGGACUGCAACUGACACUGAGGCUCGAAAGUGUGGGUAUCAAACAGGAUUAGAUACCCUUGUAGUC
rnacentral:rRNA from 1 species